CCUACGGGUGGCUGCAGUGAGGAAUAUUGGUCAAUGGGCGAGAGCCUGAACCAGCCAAGUCGCGUGAAGGAUGAAGGAUCUAUGGUUUGUAAACUUCUUUUAUAUGGGAAUAAAGUGAGGAACGUGUUCCUUUUUGUAUGUACCAUAUGAAUAAGCAUCGGCUAACUCCGUGCCAGCAGCCGCGGUAAUACGGAGGAUGCGAGCGUUAUCCGGAUUUAUUGGGUUUAAAGGGUGCGUAGGCGGGUUAUCAAGUCAGCGGUAAAAUCGUGGAGCUCAACUCCAUCCAGCCGUUGAAACUGAUGAUCUUGAGUGGGCGAGAAGUAUGCGGAAUGCGUGGUGUAGCGGUGAAAUGCAGAGAUAUCACGCAGAACUCCGAUUGCGAAGGCAGCAUACCGGCGCCCGACUGACGCUGAAGCACGAAAGCGUGGGUAUCGAACAGGAUUAGAUACCCGUGUAGUC
rnacentral:rRNA from 1 species